UGGGCUCGCGCGCGCAUUCUAUGGCAAUCCGCGCCUAAUGGUUCUCGAUGAACCAAAUUCAAAUCUAGAUGCGAAUGGCGAGCGGGCGCUGGCCAAGGCGCUCAUUCGUGCAAAAGAGAAGCAGAUAACGGUCGUGACGAUCACGCAGCGUGCCGCGCUUCUUAGGAGCGUCGACAAGAUCAUGAUCCUCAACAAUGGCGCGGUUCAGGCGUUCGGCACGCGCGACGAGAUCAUCCCGCUCAUUUCCGGAC
rnacentral:misc_RNA from 1 species